CGAGUUACUGACACAACUACGGACACGGAGCGACGAGGACACGGCAGAGACACGUCGUGACAUCUUGAGCCGCGGUUCGCAGGAUUGCUGCCCGAUUUCAUUGUACCCUGAGCAAUGACAAUGAAGAAUCUUCAAUCUUGAAUCUAAUGGGAUCUAAAGGUGCUCUACAGGAAAUAUAGUGGUCUCUACUGGAAACCGUUAAGCCAACCCCCACUGUGUGUUUGAAUUAGACUAUCGUGUACAGACAAAACCUGCGAUUUAUGUACUCACUUUCCAUUAAACACUUCAUCCAUGAA